AACGAACGCUGGCGGCAGGCCUAACACAUGCAAGUCGAGCGGACCUUUCGGGGUCAGCGGCGGACGGGUGAGUAACGCGUGGGAAUAAGCCCUUCUCUACGGAAUAGUCCUGGGAAACUGGGGGUAAUACCGUAUACGCCCUUUGGGGGAAAGAUUUAUCGGGGAAGGAUUAGCCCGCGUUGGAUUAGGUAGUUGGUGGGGUAAUGGCCUACCAAGCCGACGAUCCAUAGCUGGUUUGAGAGGAUGAUCAGCCACACUGGGACUGAGACACGGCCCAGACUCCUACGGGAGGCAGCAGUGGGGAAUCUUAGACAAUGGGGGCAACCCUGAUCUAGCCAUGCCGCGUGAGUGAUGAAGGCCUUAGGGUUGUAAAGCUCUUUCAGCUGGGAAGAUAAUGACGGUACCAGCAGAAGAAGCCCCGGCUAACUCCGUG
rnacentral:rRNA from 1 species